rnacentral:rRNA from 1 species
GAUGAACGCUGGCGGCGUGCCUAAUACAUGCAAGUCGAGCGAACAGACGAGGAGGUUGCUCCUCUGACGUUAGCGGCGGAAGGGUGAGUAACACGUGGAUAACCUACCUAUAAGACUGGGAUAACUUCGGGAAACCGGAGCUAAUACCGGAUAAUAUAUUGAACCGCAUGGUUCAAUAGUGAAAGACGGUUUUGCUGUCACUUAUAGAUGGAUCCGCGCCGCAUUAGCUAGUUGGUAAGGUAACGGCUUACCAAGGCAACGAUGCGUAGCCGACCUGAGAGGGUGAUCGGCCACACUGGAACUGAGACACGGUCCAGACUCCUACGGGAGGCAGCAGUAGGGAAUCUUCCGCAAUGGGCGAAAGCUUGACGGAGCAACGCCGCGUGAGUGAUGAAGGUCUUCGGAUCGUAAAACUCUGUUAUUAGGGAAGAACAAAUGUGUAAGUAACUAUGCACGUCUUGACGGUACCUAAUCAGAAAGCCACGGCUAACUACGUG